rnacentral:tRNA from 1 species
UAAUAAUUAGUUAAACAAUAAUAUUAAAAUGUCAUUUUAAAGUUAUUAUAUAUUUAAUAUUAUUAA